rnacentral:rRNA from 1 species
GCCGGUUGAUCCUGCCAGCGGUCACUGCUAUCAGUGUUCGACUAAGCCAUGCGGAGUCAAAUGUUUCUUCGUGAACAUGGCGUACUGCUCAGUAACACGUGGACAACCUGCCCUAAGGUCUGGAAUAACCCCGGGAAACUGGGGAUAAUACCGGAUAGAUCAUAGAUGCUGGAAUGCUCUGUGAUUAAAAGCUCCGGCGCCUUAGGAUGGAUCUGCGGCCUAUCAGGUAGUAGUGGGUGUAAUGUACCUACUAGCCUACGACGGGUACGGGUUGUGAGAGCAAGAGCCCGGAGAUGGAUUCUGAGACAUGAAUCCAGGCCCUACGGGGCGCAGCAGGCGCGAAAACUUUACAAUGCGGGAAACCGUGAUAAGGGGACACCGAGUGCCAGCAUCAUAUGCUGGCUGUCCGGGUGUGUAAAAUACACCUGUUAGCAAGGGCCGGGCAAGACCGGUGCCAGCCGCCGCGGUAACACCGGCGGCCCGAGUGGUGAUCGUGAUUAUUGGGUCUAAAGGGUCCGUAGCCGGUUUGGUCAGUCCUCCGGGAAAUCUGACGGCUUAACCGUUAGGCUUUCGGAGGAUACUGCCAGGCUUGGAACCGGGAGAGGUAAGAGGUACUACAGGGGUAGGAGUGAAAUCUUGUAAUCCCUGUGGGACCACCUGUGGCGAAGGCGUCUUACCAGAACGGGUUCGACGGUGAGGGACGAAAGCUGGGGGCACGAACCGGAUUAGAUACCCGGGUAGUCCCAGCCGUAAACGAUGCUCGCUAGGUGUCAGGCAUGGCGCGACCGUGUCUGGUGCCGCAGGGAAGCCGUGAAGCGAGCCACCUGGGAAGUACGGCCGCAAGGCUGAAACUUAAAGGAAUUGGCGGG